CGAACGCGGGCGGCGUGCCUAACAGAUGCAAGUCUAACGGAUUGAAGGGGCUUGCUCCUUCAGUUAGUGGCGCACGGGUGAGUAACGCGUAGAUAAUCUGCCUGAUGAUCUGGGAUAACACUUCGAAAGGGGUGCUAAUACCGGAUAAUCCCACGGGGUCUUUGGACUCUGCGGGAAAAGGGGGGGACCUUCGGGCCUUCUGUCAUCAGAUGAGUCUGCGUACCAUUAGCUAGUUGGUAGGGUAAUGGCCUACCAAGGCUACGAUGGUUAGCUGGUUUGAGAGAAUGAUCAGCCACACUGGAACUGAGACACGGUCCAGACUCCUACGGGAGGCAGCAGUGGGGAAUUUUGCGCAAUGGGCGAAAGCCUGACGCAGCAACGCCGCGUGAGUGAUGAAGGCUUUCGGGUCGUAAAGCUCUGUCGAGGGGAAAGAAGUGUAUUGUGGCUAAUAUCCACGAUACUUGACGGUACCCCUAAAGGAAGCACCGGCUAACUCCGUGCCAGCAGCCGCGGUAAUACGGGGGGUGCAAGCGUUGUUCGGAUUUAUUGGGCGUAAAGAGCGUGUAGGCGGUUUGUUAAGUCUGAUGUGAAAGCCCUGGGCUCAACCCAGGAAGUGCAUUGGAAACUGGCAGACUUGAAUACGGGAGAGGGCAGUGGAAUUCCUAGUGUAGGAGUGAAAUCCGUAGAUAUUAGGAGGAACACCGGUGGCGAAGGCGGCUGCCUGGACCGAUAUUGACGCUGAGACGCGAAAGCGUGGGUAGCAAACAGGAUUAGAUACCCUGGUAGUCCACGCCGUAAACGAUGAGAACUAGGUGUUGCGGGUAUUGACCCCUGCAGUGCCGCAGCUAACGCAUUAAGUUCUCCGCCUGGGAAGUACGGUC
rnacentral:rRNA from 1 species